AGCUUUGCGCACAGGCAGUAUCGUAACCAAUGAGGAUUCGUCCGAGGUGCGAUUAUUGCUAGUUGAAAUUUUUUUUAUACAUACUUUCACCGAAUUGGAUGCACUCAACUAAAUUCAGACAUGGUGCUGACUGCUUGUUGUCGGCCUCCGUGUUAUUUUUGGAGAGCUGUCGUUCAAGUAAUUUCAGU